GAAAGAACACGGAGAAAAUGAACAAGAACAACUUU
rnacentral:rRNA from 1 species